rnacentral:rRNA from 1 species
UACGGAGGGUGCAAGCAUUGAUCGGAAUUACUGGGCGUAAAGGGCGCGUAGGCGGCAAGAUAAGUCAGAUGUGAAAUUCCGGGGCUCAACCCCGGAGCUGCAUUUGAAACUAUCUAGCUAGAGUACAGUUAGGGAAAACAGAAUUCCACGUGUAGCGGUGAAAUGCGUAGAUAUGUGGAAGAAUACCGGUGGUGAAGACGGUUUUCUGGGCUGUAACUGACGCUGAGGCGCGAGAGCUAGGGGAGCAAACAGG